ensembl:processed_transcript 1810026B05Rik RIKEN cDNA 1810026B05 gene
GCGCGGGCGGGAGGGGCGGCGGGUGGCUGCCGGCUGGCUCUGCACACGCAGCCCCGGGCACUGCCGCGGAGGGCCGAUGCCACGGGAGCACGGGGUCGGGCCACCGCGUUCCCGCUGCAUACCCAGCCGGGCGCCGCGCUGCGGUCCGAGCCAGCGGGGAGAGGGCGGCGGCCGCGCCGUGGAACCCCUGCUUGCUCUGGUAACUUAGAAGAUGAUAAUUAAUGUGGUUGCUGAUAAUUCUGAAUAAAUACAGCUUUUAUCCCAGGUGUGCCAUUUUGAAGACUGAGACCAUAGAGUUCUAAGAAUAAAGGAAAGAGCCCUUGGGAAAUUAUUAUAUAUAGCAAAAAUGUGAAUCCUCAGAUGGAAUGAAAGGCCUGCACCAUAGACAUUGAAGCAUUUACACCCCGCUUGAAGAGUUUGAAAUGGACUUUACCACUGAGAAAUCAAGAUGGCAGCCCAUUAUGGGGAAUUGAGGAAAAUGGAUUAAUGCAAGAAUGCUGUAAUAUUAUACAACCAACA